UGGGGAAUUUUGGACAAUGGGCGAAAGCCUGAUCCAGCAAUGCCGCGUGUGUGAAGAAGGCCUUCGGGUUGUAAAGCACUUUUGUCCGGAAAGAAAUCCUUGGCUCUAAUACAGUCGGGGGAUGACGGUACCGGAAGAAUAAGCACCGGCUAACUACGUGCCAGCAGCCGCGGUAAUACGUAGGGUGCAAGCGUUAAUCGGAAUUACUGGGCGUAAAGCGUGCGCAGGCGGUUUGCUAAGACCGAUGUGAAAUCCCCGGGCUCAACCUGGGAACUGCAUUGGUGACUGGCAGGCUAGAGUAUGGCAGAGGGGGGUAGAAUUCCACGUGUAGCAGUGAAAUGCGUAGAGAUGUGGAGGAAUACCGAUGGCGAAGGCAGCCCCCUGGGCCAAUACUGACGCUCAUGCACGAAAGCGUGGGGAGCAAACAGGAUUAGAUACCCUGGUAGUCCACGCCCUAAACGAUGUCAACUAGUUGUUGGGGAUUCAUUUCCUUAGUAACGUAGCUAACGCGCGAAGUUGACCGCCUGGGGAGUACGGUCGCAAGAUUAAAACUCAAAUGAAUUGAC
rnacentral:rRNA from 1 species